GCGAGACGCACACACAAGAAGACGGCAGGCACGGGGCCCAGUGCGCCACAGGCAGGUGGGCCAGCAGGGAUCUCCCCUCUGCUUUUAGGGACAACACUGCAGACCAUGAACCAGGUGACCAGUGCCCUGAGCACAUCUGUCAUAAUUCUGAGUGUAAUUAUGAGGGGACUCUCAGAAGUGGCACUGGUAGGACAAUCUGGUAUAUGGUCACCAUGUUCGCCAUGACUGCUGGUGGUCCCUUAAACUCUGUCCCCUGCUUCCCUCUUUCCUCACUUCCAAGGAACUGCUCUACCAGGUAGGCCUGAUGACACAAUUUGUAUCUAAAUUGGGCUCUGUUGUAUAAAAUAACAGGAAAGAUAUUGUUUUCCCAUCCAGAGUCUCCAAAGAUGGCCUUUGGGCCUGAUACGGUCACCGUGUCACCAUCCUCCACUGUCAUUUCUUCCCCGAUGUUGCCAGAUCUGGGCUCACCAGUCAACUGUUACCAUACACAGCAGGCAAGGGAGGAAGCAACUUGG
rnacentral:lncRNA from 1 species